rnacentral:rRNA from 1 species
CCUACGGGGGGCAGCAGUGGGGAAUAUUGGACAAUGGGGGGAACCCUGAUCCAGCGACGCCGCGUGAGUGAAGAAGUAUUUCGGUAUGUAAAGCUCUAUCAGCAGGGAAGAAAGAAAUGACGGUACCUGACUAAGAAGCCCCGGCUAACUACGUGCCAGCAGCCGCGGUAAUACGGGGGGGGCAAGCGUUAUCCGGAUUUACUGGGUGUAAAGGGAGCGUAGACGGCGAUGCAAGUCUGAAGUGAAAGGCGGGGGCCCAACCCCUGGACUGCUUUGGAAACUGUAUGGCUGGAGUGCAGGAGAGGUAAGUGGAAUUCCUAGUGUAGCGGUGAAAUGCGUAGAUAUUAGGAGGAACACCAGUGGCGAAGGCGGCUUACUGGACUGUAACUGACGUUGAGGCUCGAAAGCGUGGGGAGCAAACAGGAUUAGAUACCCCUGUAGUC